rnacentral:rRNA from 1 species
AAAGGAGACUUCGGUCUCUGAGUAAAGUGGCGCACGGGUGCGUAACACGUAAGUAAUCUACCCCGAACUCUGGGAUAACCCUCCGAAAGGAGGGCUAAGACCGGAUAGGGUCCCCGAGGUGUAGGCUGCGGGGGGAAAACGGGCCUCUGUUUCAUGCUCGUGGUUUGGGAUGAGCUUGCGGCCCAUUAGCUUGUUGGCAGGGUAAUGGCCUACCAAGGCUACGAUGGGUAGCUGGUCUGAGAGGAUGAUCAGCCACACUGGCACUGAGACACGGGCCAGACUCCUACGGGAGGCAGCAGUGGGGGAUUUUGCGCAAUGGGCGAAAGCCUGACGCAGUAACGCCGCGUGGAGGAUGAAGGCCUUCGGG